rnacentral:rRNA from 1 species
UGGGGAAUAUUGCACAAUGGAGGGAACUCUGAUGCAGCGACGCCGCGUGAACGAAGAAGGCUUUCGAGUCGUAAAGUUCUUUUAUAUGGGAAGAUAAUGACGGUACCAUAAGAAAAAGCCCCGGCUAACUACGUGCCAGCAGCCGCGGUAAUACGUAGGGGGCUAGCGUUGUCCGGAAUCACUGGGCGUAAAGGGUUCGCAGGCGGAAAUGCAAGUCAGGUGUAAAAGGCAGUAGCUUAACUACUGUAAGCAUUUGAAACUGCAUAUCUUGAGAAGAGUAGAGGUAAGUGGAAUUUUUAGUGUAGCGGUGAAAUGCGUAGAUAUUAGAAAGAAUACCGGUGGCGAAGGCGGCUUACUGGGCUCAUUCUGACGCUGAGGAACGAAAGCGUGGGUAGCAAACAGG